UAAAAGAUAAGCUAAUUAAGCUAAUAGGUUCAUACCCUAUCCAUGAAACAAAAUAUUUCUCUUUUAA
rnacentral:tRNA from 1 species